rnacentral:rRNA from 1 species
CAGCCGCCGCGGUAAUACGUAGGGCGCAAGCGUUGUCCGGAAUUAUUGGGCGUAAAGAGCUCGUAGGCGGUCUGUCGCGUCUGGUGUGAAAUCCCGAGGCUCAACCUCGGGCUUGCAUCGGGUACGGGCAGACUAGAGUGCGGUAGGGGAGACUGGAAUUCCUGGUGUAGCGGUGGAAUGCGCAGAUAUCAGGAGGAACACCGAUGGCGAAGGCAGGUCUCUGGGCCGCAACUGACGCUGAGGAGCGAAAGCAUGGGGAGCGAACAGGAUUAGAUACCCGAGUAGUCCCUGUCUCUUAUAA